AACGAACGCUGGCGGCAGGCUUAACACAUGCAAGUCGAGCGCCCCGCAAGGGGAGCGGCAGACGGGUGAGUAACGCGUGGGAACAUACCCUCCGGUACGGAAUAACUCAGGGAAACUUGAGCUAAUACCGUAUACGGCAACCGAGAGGAAUCUUGGAGGCGAAAGAUUUAUCGCCGGAGGAUUGGCCCGCGUCCGAUUAGCUAGUUGGUGUGGUAACGGCGCACCAAGGCGACGAUCGGUAGCUGGUCUGAGAGGAUGAUCAGCCACAUUGGGACUGAGACACGGCCCAAACUCCUACGGGAGGCAGCAGUGGGGAAUAUUGGACAAUGGGCGCAAGCCUGAUCCAGCCAUGCCGCGUGAGUGAUGAAGGCCUUAGGGUUGUAAAGCUCUUUCGCCCACGACGAUAAUGACGGUAGUGGGAGAAGAAGCCCCGGCUAACUUCGUGCCAGCAGCCGCGGUAAUACGAAGGGGGCUAGCGUUGUUCGGAAUUACUGGGCGUAAAGCGCGUGUAGGCGGGUCCUUAAGUCAGGGGUGAAAUGCCGAGGCUCAACCUCGGAACUGCCUUUGAUACUGGGGAUCUUGAGUCCGGGAGAGGUGAGUGGAACUGCGAGUGUAGAGGUGAAAUUCGUAGAUAUUCGCAAGAACACCAGUGGCGAAGGCGGCUCACUGGCCCGGAACUGACGCUGAGACGCGAAAGCGUGGGGAGCAAACAGGAUUAGAUACCCUGGUAGUCCACGCUGUAAACGAUGGAUGCUAGCCGUUGGGGAGCUUGCUCUUCAGUGGCGCAGCUAACGCUUUAAGCAUCCCGCCUGGGGAGUACGGUCGCAAGAUUA
rnacentral:rRNA from 1 species